AAUUUCAGACUUAAUUUUCUCUCAUGAAAAAAUGCAUCAACCCCUACAAGAAUAUCCAAUAAAUAUAAUUCACAUAAUUAUUCCCAUUUCAUGUUGUUGCAGGAUUAUUUUCCUGCUGUAGCAAACUGGCUCAAAUUAAGCUCCUGCAUCUGUAGUUCCAUACAGACAGACCAAGCCGAGAAAAAAGGUUGGUUUGAACGGUUCAGCAGCGAGAGGAAGCCAGGAGGAAAMGUGUUACAUUGCGGGAGGAACUUUUCUAGUGAACUUGCAGCUAUGGGCCCCGACACAGUGCACUGAAGAGCCAUCGCCAGCCAUUUGACCAAAAACCCAGGGAAAGAGUUUGUUGAGGGGAACAUCGACUCAUAUUAAUGAGUUAUACUCUUCGGGGUGUUAGCCAACUUGCUUACUUUAAUGCUGGUAUAAUGUAUUAUUAUUAAAAUGCGUUGUAAGACUUGUCAUAAGCAGUAUGACCUCCUCAUGAUAUGUUAUUAUCAUCUCACAAUGAUUCAUAAUAAAUAGCAGCCAUUUUGAGUCAAGUGACAUAGAGGGGCAUAACAUAUUAUAAGAUGUAUCAUAAGACAUUAAAAAAGGCUCAUGCAUGUUUAUAACAAGUAGGCCUAAUGAAGCAUUAUACAUAUCGGCAUUAAGUAAAUAAAGUGUUAUCAGUGA